rnacentral:rRNA from 1 species
GCAGAGCAUCCUACGGGAGGCAGCAGUGGGGGAAUAUUGCACAAUGGGCGCAAGCCUGAUGCAGCCAUGCCGCGUGUAUGAAGAAGGCCUUCGGGUUGUAAAGUACUUUCAGCAGUGAGGAAGGUGGGUAUGUUAAUAGCAUAUUCAUUUGACGUUAGCUGCAGAAGAAGCACCGGCUAACUCCGUGCCAGCAGCCGCGGUAAUACGGAGGGUGCGAGCGUUAAUCGGAAUUACUGGGCGUAAAGCGCAUGCAGGUGGUUUGUUAAGUCAGAUGUGAAAGCCCGGGGCUCAACCUCGGAAUUGCAUUUGAAACUGGCAAACUAGAGUACUGUAGAGGGGGUAGAAUUUCAGGUGUAGCGGUGAAAAUGCGUAGAGAUCUGAAGGAAUACCGGUGGCGAAGGCGGCCCCCUGGACAGAUACUGACACUCAGAUGCGAAAGCGUGGGGAGCAAACAGGAUUAGAUACCCUGGUAG